rnacentral:lncRNA from 13 species
AUGCCCCAAAUCCCAUGGUGAAAUCAGGUUUUCCAUAGACCCAGAGCUGUGAGGGAAGACGUAGACCUCCAAAUAGAGAUUGGGGUAAUCACCCAGCAAAGGGUAGCUGUUAGAUAGGAAGCUGGAAUCUCCCAGCUCUUUCUGUCACCUGCCAAUCUCCCAUUAUAUGCUUACAGAUGCAGCUUUCUGCUAGAAAGAAGGAAAUUCUCAUUUUUUGCAAUAUGACUUUUACUACUUUGUGACUCUUAAUUCUCCUUUGUUCCCCCUCCUCCCUCUUGUCCUUCCUUCCCCUCUUUUCCUUCCUUCCUUCAUUCCCCUUUUCCUCCAUCCCCAUUCCUUCUUCCCUUUUCCUGUCUUCUCCCCCUCUCCUCUUUACCCUUUCAUCUGUUUCCCCUUCCUCUCUUUCCUUUCCUCCUCUCCCCUAGCUUCUCUUUCUCCCUGCUUAUCCAUCAGCCAUUCUUGAUUGAUGAUCUAAUUGUUUAUUCAACUUAACCUAACUGGUGGGGUACAGUUAGGUUUCUAACUAAAUUAAAUGCCUUCAUAUCCUCCUGCUGUCCCCCAGGAAGAAGAAAUGCCAGAGGUAGAAAUUGACAUUGAUGAUCUUCUUGAUGCAGACAGUGAUGAAGAGAGAGCUUCAAAGUUACAGGAAGCUCUUGUAGACUGCUACAAACCAACAGAGGUAAACAAAUUACUCUUCCUAAAUGCCCUGUUUGAACUGGUUUUUUAUUAAAUCAAUUUGUCUAUUUUUAAAGCAAACCACAAUUAGUGGGUUUGACUGUGCGUGUACCAAUUAGCAAUUAUUAUCCAUGAGCGCAUAUGUUGAGUAGUUCUAGCUUCAUUAUUUCUAAGCCUAAACUUGUCUAGUUCAGAGAUACUUAAAAUUAAUGGAGCAGAGUGUGUUGCUUGUGCUGGAUAAAAGCCGGACUUCAAAGGAAAUUGUGAGAGGGUUUGGAAUCAUUUUAGCAGAAGUUUUAGGUUUAUAACUGGUUUAUACUUUCUAUCAGUUUAUUGGUAUGUAUUUUUUUAAAGCUUAAAGUCAGUUCUGUCUUUCCAAAGAAUUACCUUUGUUGGGAUAAAAUGUUAUGCUUUAUUUAGAUAUUCAUCAAGUAUUAUGUCUAAAUAUUAGCAUACAAAUGGAUAUCAGUGUGAUUAGACUAAAUAAAGCAUUUAAUGUAGACUGUCA